ACGAACAGGGUUAUGUUUACAUGCUUAAAAUGACCUUGAAUCAGAUAAAUUGUUUAUUGGAAAAAGAGUCGGUUUAGUUUUUUUCUGGCAUAAAUUUGUUAUCCUACGUAAAAGAACCGCCACCGUGAAGCAUUUCUGAAGUCGGAAAUAUUUUUCCAUGUUAUUGGAGCCUUGAAGAAUCGUAGAAUCAAUAGUUAACAUAGAAAAUUAAACCGGAUAUUUGGUUAAAUAUAUUAAUAAUUUAAAUUGUAGGAAAGAUCAUAGGGAAACCACUGGAGCACGA
rnacentral:lncRNA from 1 species